CAAAGAAAGAAAGAAAGAGAGAAAAAAAGAGAUAGAGAUAGAGAGAGAAAGAGCAUCCAACAGAUGUUCCACUACACGUACUGCGUUUUGUUGUGUUGUUGUGUUGUGGGUCCAGUCCCACACUUUCAACUUGAAAUUGUCAACAACACGAUCGAUGGAGAUUGUAUUGUUCGACAACUCAUUUGAAAAACUGGAGACCAUUCCAUGCCUUUUA
rnacentral:ribozyme from 1 species